rnacentral:pre_miRNA from 1 species
AAAAAAACAAACCCUGAUUUUCAUGUCCAACGUUUGAUUGUCCGUCUUAUAUGAAUUUUUUUUAUAAUUAGUAUUUUCAUUGUUGUUAGAUGAUAAAACAUGAUUAAUACUUUAUGCGUGACUUGUCUUUUUAAUUUUUUUAUAUUUUUUUUAAAUAAAACGGACGGGACGGAGGA